rnacentral:rRNA from 1 species
UAGUAACUGCGAGUGAACGGGGAAAAGCCCAUCGCUGAAUCCUUCAGCCACUGGCUGCUAGGAAUUGUAGCGUAUAGGUGCGGCUGUCCGUUCGUUUCGUGCACCCAAAGUCCCCUUGAGCGGGGCUAUAGUCCAAAGAAGGUGCUAGACCUGUACGGGUGGCGAGGCGAUCGGUUGGUUGCUCCUUGGAGUCGGGUUGCCUGGGAUCGCAGCCCAAAGUUGGUGGUAGACCUCAUCUAAGGCUAAAUAUGGCCACGAAACCGAUAGCAAACAAGUACCGUGAGGGAAAGUUGCAAAGAACUUUGAAGAGAGAGUUCAAGAGGGCGUGAAACCGUUGAGAUUGAAACGGAUAGAGUUGACGGAACUCAGCUGCAUUCAUCCGAUCGGCCUAGUGGCCCGAUAGCGUUCGCAUCCUCGAUGAGGGCAACGUUAUCGGUAACUAUUGGGUAAUUGAUCGGUGUAUUUGCGGCUGGUAUGCGCUGAGAGUUUUGUGAUCGCAUGUUAACGGGUGUGCAGUGGACCAUUCCUUCCGGGCGUGGAACCCUUCACAUUUUUAGACAUGUCGAUUAUAAAGUUUUGAACGUGGCGUCUCCGCUAUUGUGCGUCGGCUUAUGCGUGCUAUCGUGAUUAUUUGAUAUUCGCAUGCGAAUGUCUGUAAUUAACGAUGAUGCGACAAAAGUGUGAGCGCGUUGAGACGUGCAUCUCGGUGUGAACGUUG